rnacentral:rRNA from 1 species
UACGUAGGGGGGCUAGCGUUGUCCGGAUUUAUUGGGCGUAAAGAGCGUGUAGGCGGCCAGAUAAGUCCGCUGUGAAAUCUCGAGGCUCAACUUCGAGCUGUCGGUGGAAACUAUCUGGCUAGAGUCCGGAAGAGGAGAAUGGAAUUCCUGGUGUAGCGGUGAAAUGCGCAGAUAUCAGGAAGAACACCCGUGGCGAAGGCGGUUCUCUGGGACGGUACUGACGCUGAGACGCGAAAGCGUGGGGAGCGAACAGG